rnacentral:sRNA from 1 species
GCAUCUGCUCUGGUUGUCAUAGCAACGCUGUAGCCAACUUCCCAGCUGAACUUUUACCAGACACAAGCACAUUUUCCUGCCCUGCCCUUCACUGGGCAGAGCUGAGACGGACCAGAGUGUGGGCUGUACUGAAAGGCCUCUACAGUGGUCGGUGACCCCAGGAAGGGAAGGCCGCCCCACUUGUGUGGGCUGCUCUACCAGACAGGGCCUUAUGACUCACGGAGCCCUCUUCAGACAGCAGGACUGGGUGCUUAGGUAUUGUCUUUCCGGACGACAGUGAGGGAAGUCUGAGCUAAACAGAAAAUACCGGCUCUUGCCUCUCGGAGAAUACAGAUACAGCACAGAGAGUAAUGCACUCGCUGCGUGUGGGUGUUUUGACUGGGGAUGGUGUCUAUGCACUGGGCAUGCCUGAUGCAUCACAUCUCCUGGAGCUGGAGUUACAGCUGCCAAAUGGGGGCUGGGAAUCAAACCUGGUGACCACAGCAGCACACCUCCCUAAAUGACUGCACGCCAGGCUGGUGAACACUAACCUCCAAGACAGAAGUCACUUGUCACCCGGACUCUCAGAUACCCUGCCUCUAAGGCAGAGAAUGCUAUAUGCUUCCUCUGCCUCUGUCUGGGAUCUGAGACGUGAGCUGCUGCUUUGAACGGCUACCCGCUCCCUCUACUCCAACGUGGACUCCAAUCCACAACUCUAGGCCCUAAACCUUUCCUUCUGCAACUUGCCAAGGUCAAAUCCAAACAAACCAAGUAACGGCUGCAACAAUGAUAAAGCAUGGAGCCAAACACCCCGCGCCAACGUGCGGCAUCUAAGCCCCGCCCAGUGCAGCUGCAGAAUCCGUGGUUUCAUCGCAGCUACAGCAGAGUCUCCCAUGGCUUGAGACGGCCUGGAACUCACUCUACCAGCAAGGAUAACCUUGAACUUCUGAUCCUACUGCCUUCACCUCUUGGACAAGAACAAUCACACUGCCAUCCACAGAAAUCCUGGCAGAUGUGUCCUGUGCUGAGAAUGGACAUUUGGACCAACAGGAUGGAGAGGAGAUUCCACAAAUGAACCCUCCUGAUUCCCCCAUUAACACUGAUUCCAGGUAAUCAUGGCGAGAGGGUUCCGAGAAAACGGACUAUUCCAAGUGACUCUGGGUUGAAUGAAUGAAUGGAUGGAUGGCUACAUGUUGCAGUAAUUUCCAACCCCGAUAGUCCUGUACAAAGAUCACACAACCCAGUUAUUAUAUUUAUAAGCGAUAACCCUAGAUCCGGCAGAACUGGCAACUACACUAACUUAUUCCCCAGCAAUGAGACCCUUUGCUAGCGGCAGUUUCUCCUGGCCACGUGGUUCUGCUCCAUCUUGGAUUCCUCCUCUUCUGUCCUUUCUCCUUCCCUCCUCAUACUUCUCUCUCCACCUCCCCCCCCUCUCAAAGACCUCCCACUCCACCUUUCCCCUCCACUGGCCAAUCACAGGCUCUCAAAGACCUCCCACUCCACCUUUCCCCUCCACUGGCCAAUCACAGGCUCUCAAAGACCUCCCACUCCACCUUUCCCCUCCACUGGCCAAUCACAGGCUCUCAAAGACCUCCCACUCCACCUUUCCCCUCCACUGGCCAAUCACAGGCUCUCAAAGACCUCCCACUCCACCUUUCCCCUCCACUGGCCAAUCACAGGCUCUAGCCUUUAUUGACCAGUAAAUGGGGGAGAAGGUUCACAUGAGAUCGCCUAAGGAUGCGAUGGACUGCUCUUCUGUGGUUGCCCCUCUGGAGGAAGCAAAUUAACAUCAGAAUUCACCAGCAUCAGGACAACUCACAGCAGCUGCGUACAGUUAUCUACACGGAAGAGAUGAGGUGAGAGUCUGUAGAAGCAAAAGCAAUUAAGAUUGAUAGCAGACUCAAAUCAAAAGCUAAAAGUGUGUGACUAUUGUAAGGGGAAUAAAGCGAGUCUUCAGGACUUGAGCUAGACGGUGGCUUUUUAGCUACAAUGUUAGAAUCCCAGUCAACUUCCUCCAUCUCUAGGUGACGAAUCCCCAGCACCCAACUCCGCCACAAAGUCCUGCCUGUUCUCUCCUGCCUCGCUGUAGGCCUUUCCGCUCUUCGUUGAUAGGUGACGCUUUUACCACAGUGCACAAGAGAUUAUCCCAACAAUUAUUCAUCACAGACUGCACAGGUGCUAACGGAAGCCCAAAGACAGAGUCACAUCCUCUGGAGCUAAAGUUACAGGCAACUGUGAACCGUCUGACACAGGUGCUGGGAACUGAGCUGAACUCCAGCCCUCUGCAAGAGCAGUUAGCACUCUCAUCACCUCAGCCCCUGGUUUUCCUUUGAGAUGAUAAAAGUGCUCCAAAAAUCAGAUUAUGGCGAUGGGCACAAUGCUGUGAGUGCAAAAACCUGAGUGUGUACUUUAAAUAGAUGAAUUGUAUGGUACGUAAAUUCUACAUCUAGGAAACUAUUUAAAUAAAACCAACACUCACUGAUCCGUAUGGACAUAAAGAAAACUGGACUGCGGAAGCUCAGUGCGAUAAUGCAUUUACGUUGCUCACCCCGGCCUCCUUGCUUGCAGGGCGCGAGAGCAGCGAGGGGCCACUGUGAACUGCUGUGGCUGAAGAUGCCAUGCAAGAAUAAAGGCAGCAGCACAUGCGGACAGUGUCGACUUGACACUAACUGUAGUGCCCCCUUCGGCCCCUGCUUUAGAGAACAGCAGACAGAUUUUGUAUUUUGAGCACCGUCUUUACUCCCACUGUCAAAAUCAAGAUUCCUCCUGUCUGAAAGGAGGAAACCCCUGCUGACCCUUCCAGGUAACCAGGAUGGUGAGAGGCAGGACAAGGUCCUCUAGAGUCACACCGAGUGUGACUUCAGGCUGAACUGCCUGGACCCUGUGACCUAAGACAUUUCUCACCCCACCCCCACCCCUCGUGGUGAGGGUUUUGUUCUCCUAUAUUGUCUACUUCCUCUAAUUGCCCAUUUGUGCCUAAUUGGCACACAUUCUCCCUAAAUGAGUUUGCUUAGCAUCCUGACACGCCGACUUAAAUAUUGGUGAUGUUUUCCAAGAGCCUUAUCUCGCUAAGCUCCGAGACAGUUUAAUGCUCGAAUCCUCCAGUCCCUGAAUAUCUGAAACAAUUCAUCUACCUGAGAACCAUUUGGGCCAUUGCAAGCUGAGUCUCUUUUGAUUAUUGGUCUGUUAAGAAUCCUUAUCUUUGAGAGGGUGAAUUUUGGUAAUCCCUGUGUAUUCCUAAGAUAAUGAUGUUAUCCAGGUUUCAAUUUAACAUGCAUCUAAGUGUAUCAAGGAGUCCAUGAAAUGACUUUUAAUGCUCCAGAAUCUCUCAUUAAUUCUCCUGUCUUUCCUUAUUUUUAAUUCCUCCAUAUUUUUCUCUCCCUCUUCCUCCUCCUCCUGCCUCCUCAUUCCCCCCCCCCUCCUCCUCUUUCUUCUGGGUUUGGUUUUUCGUCUUUCCCCUCAAGAAUCCAAUUUUCUGGCUGGAAACUCCCUAUAUAGACCAGGCUGGACUUAAUCUUGCAGCCAUUCACCAGCCUUUGCUUCUUGGAUGCUGAGAUUAUAGACAGGCACCACUGCACCUGGCUCUCUGUUUAAAGUGAAUGGUUUGUGCCAAUUUUCGAAACCAUUUCCUCUUUUUUCCUGUCAUCCAUUA